GGACGAACGCUGGCGGCGUGCCUAAUACAUGCAAGUCGAGCGGACAGAUGGGAGCUUGCUCCCUGAUGUUAGCGGCGGACGGGUGAGUAACACGUGGGUAACCUGCCUGUAAGACUGGGAUAACUCCGGGAAACCGGGGCUAAUACCGGAUGGUUGUUUGAACCGCAUGGUUCAAACAUAAAAGGUGGCUUCGGCUACCACUUACAGAUGGACCCGCGGCGCAUUAGCUAGUUGGUGAGGUAAYGGCUCACCAAGGCAACGAUGCGUAGCCGACCUGAGAGGGUGAUCGGCCACACUGGGACUGAGACACGGCCCAGACUCCUACGGGAGGCAGCAGUAGGGAAUCUUCCGCAAUGGACGAAAGUCUGACGGAGCAACGCCGCGUGAGUGAUGAAGGUUUUCGGAUCGUAAAGCUCUGUUGUUAGGGAAGAACAAGURCCGUUCGAAUAGGGCGGUACCUUGACGGUACCUAACCAGAAAGCCACGGCUAACUACGU
rnacentral:rRNA from 1 species